ensembl:processed_transcript
ACUUACAUUACUUUACAACUGCUUAAUGCAGUACUGAUGUAUCUAGUAGUUAAGUGGGUUUAACUAAUGUCACAUCUGUUUUUAUUCAUUUCAGAUGCAGAAACUUUUGACAUAUGAAUUCAUCUUGACUAAGGAACUCUUCACAGCACUGCAUCUGAACAGUCACAACCUCACAGAGCUGCACAACUGCCCCACUCAAGAUCAGUGUUGAAGCUGGAACCUCGUCUUGUGUACAGCAAAGGCAGAGCUGAAAAUUCACUGUUUGUCUUGUAUUGUGUGUGGCAAGACCUGGAAUAACACCUGGGAGCCCUCCAGGAAUUCCUGACACUUUACGCACAAGUCUCCUCAUGCUAACCGGAUUGCAAUAUGACAGUCUAGUCAGCAUAAACACCUGGACUCACCAAGCACACUUUGGUUCUCAGUGUUUUGUAUAAAUUGUUUUUGCUAUUCUUCAGUAAAUACUUUUGAUGUUUAAGUUCAAAAAGUUGUUAUUAUAAACAUAAUUUGCAUUUGUGAUGAACUUGACUUGUU